CCGUGGCUGCCGGGAGCGGGAAGAGCGGGUGGCACUGUCAUUAUCUGUGCGGAGAAAGGGCGCAGCGGUGUUUGCACAGCGCGGACGGAAGCGCUGGUGGCAGCCUGAGGCACAGGGUGUGCAGCAAUGACAAGGCAAAGCAUUUCUGGAUUCACUUGAAGACUGACACAUGGACAUGUUUCCACUGAAGUUGCUACAGGUGAUAGGAACUUUCUUCUGAAGACUGACAAAAUGACUGGAGCAUAGUGAGUUAUUAUUACAACCACUUAUUUAAAAAAAAUAAAAGACAAAAGAACGUGCUGCAAGAUAACAAAUAAUACAGCCCAACUUGUGCAAUGCAGUAACUUCUUAAUGCUACAAAAAAAACCAGGGAUGAUCACAGUCCUGAACACACACUCACAAAACCAUUCCAGAUUGCAACUGUGAGCACCCAUAGUCAGUUCAACAGGAAAAAGUAAGAUAUAGUCUUUUAAGGACACGACUUUGAUAACUCUCUAGUUUGAAGCCGGGGAUGAGUGAUAGGUUGGACAUUCCCACUGGAGAAAUAGGCUAGUUACAUUGGAAUGGGUUACCCUUUGCUAUUCAACAUCUCAGCUCCCUAGUUACCAGCUCCAAACUAAGGUGUUUGCCUCAGCACAUGGUUGUUUACACAGUGGCUUAUCUUACCUUGGUGAGAUAUUUGAUACCAAUAAAACAUCCGUCACACUCUGUCCUACUGCUUUCCUUUAACUCAGGGCAAGGCCCAUCCCUCUUCCAAAACCUUUGACAGCUUUGAAAUAUGCAGUGUUGCCAUUGGUGUAGCUCAGGGGCUGUGCAGUGGUUGCUUUCUCCGGAGGCUCUGCAACACCUCAGUACUUCCCCCCCUUUGAACAGAGGUGGCAAAAUCCAUAAUUUGUUUCCAUUCUGCUUGGCUGAAAAUGAGGAAAAGUUCGGCACCCUGUCAUGGAGAUAGUUAAGUGAAGAGUCAAUACAAUGAAGGCCUCUGCACCAGGAGUAGCCCAUAAUAGGUGGUGGCAAUGUCACAACUCAGCUUGUUUUAAAAUACAGCACUUUUUUCCCUCUUGUUUCGUGUGUGGUUUUUUUCCCUCUGGGUGGAGCAGAGCUGGGAAGGUGAUGACUUACCUGCUACAGCUUGGUAGAUCGCAAUCUGGAACUGGCAGAGUGUUAACACAAUGCCCCAGCAGAGCUUUUCUGUCUCUAAUUUCAAUGAUUAUGUUGUUACUGGAUCAGUGAAGAGAACCAUGAAAAACACAAUUACCAGGAAGCCCUGUUCCUCAGCUCGCCUCUUUGUCUCACUGCGAGUGGGGCAUGUGACUCACGGAGCAGCAGAGGACCGGCUGUAAUCUCAAGCACUGCCGAGAAGGGUGCUGUCCUCCCAUGGGACCCAGGCGUGGGAAAGCCUGACUGCCAGCUGGAAGGGCCAGUCACGUCAUGUUUUGCAGCUGGCAUCCAAAUGCAUCCUGAUGAAUCAAGUGAGAGCAGCUACCUUCUCCUGCCACAACCGUGGCCGAGCAGCCGUGCAGAAGAGGGGCUGUAAAAACCUUCCCGCGUGCAAAAGCACAGGGAAGGGAUGGUGUUGUGAAUGAGCUUACUGUGACAGCACAGAACUGUUUUAUAGGUCACUGGCAGAGCAUCAGACCACAGGGAGAGGGGAUGAGUAUCAGCUGUGAGUGCUGGUCUCAGGUUUGCUCAGUGCAGGGCCAUUCCUUGUAGGCCUGACCCGACCCUGUUACGUGAUGCGUAGUGGGCAAAAAGAAAUUCACUUGCUCUCUGCACUCCAAAUCAUGUAUAAACCUAUGACCUCAACAACAAAUACCAGUAGCAGCAAAGCAGCCAAUAUUUUUAUCAUUAAUUGCUAUCAAAAAUGUCAGCUCAAAGUCAUCAGAUUUGAUAGGCGAGCAUGCUCCAAACUGACGGCUGAAGUGAAUUAUUUGCCUAUUGCGUGAUGCAAAAACAAUGUCUUGCAGGAGAGAACAGACAUUGGCAAACAAACUGACAGCAAGAUAUACAUCUGGGGAAGGCUUCUGAUUUGAUCUGGAAGGAAACAUUGAGUAUACAUACAGAGAAAGUUUACCUGCGUGAAAGGUGGGGUUGAGCCAUGGCUUGGACUUCCUUACUCUGCUGGAGAACAGUGUGAAACAUACCUGCUAUUUUACUCCCUUUGAGCUGUUCUCAUUACAAAAAGGUACCAGACACUUCAGGAAGUUUUUAAAGUAAUAAAGUGUUUCUCCCCCCAUCCCUGAUGCAUCCAUUUAUCAGUGACUAAUGAGCACAUAAAUUCCAGCGUGUGAAGAAAAAUCCCUCAUCUUGGUGUUAAGCAGAACUUUCCCUGCCCAUGGAUCUGCAGCACAAAUGUUUCUGGUCUUUCUGUGCUGAGGGUCUAAACAUGGGCAGACAGUACAUAGUGCAGCACUGGCAUACUAAUAAUGUAACUGCUAGGUACUACAAAUUGAAUCAGGACCUGUUUAAAUACUGGUAUAACCAUGAACAUCAUCCAGGACAUGUUUCUGGACUGUCUUUAUUUCACCCAGUGGAAAAAACCCCAUAUGGAACAGGAUUUCAGUGAAGGGAAAGUUAGCUAUGCCUGCCAGGAAUCUCUUUUGCCCCCAAAAAUUCAGACAUCACGGGACAUAAGCAGAAAAUGAAAGAGAACCAGCGAGGGGAAAACCAAACAGGCUGGGGUCUUCUUGCCACUUCUUUUGAAGUCCCCAGUGUAACUCCUGGCAUCUUCAGCGGGGUUUGGCUGAGCUCUGUGCAGAAGCGCCUUUGAAGAAUUUGCUAAGGCUCAAGGCCUUGAUCAUGGCAACUUUUAUGCCUGUGAGCAACUCUGUGCAGAUGAACACUUCCAGGGUGCUCAGCAGGAUGCUUUGGAUGAGACUUUGCAGGGCUAGUCUUAAGCAAUGAGAGCUUAAGAGAAAUAUUCUGGUUGUCGUGCUUUUAUCCUUGACCACAUCAAAUGAAAUGCCUUGGCAGUUCUGGAAGAAUGAAUUUGCAUUGAAAACCCACAGCUCUUACAAG